rnacentral:rRNA from 1 species
CUCCUUUGCUUCUGCCUUCCUUCUCGUUGGCCGUCGUGUCGGGAGUUGAGUUUCGUUCCCCUUCUUCCGAAGGUCAGGUUAGUUCGGGGCUUCCCAGUUCGUCCUCAGCUCCCUCUCGCCCCAGCCGUACCCCUAGCACCUCUGCACCCACGCGCUCUUCGGGUAGGCGUGGAAGGAGAGGGCGGAGAGGGCGGUCAGCCGGCGGCGGAAGCGGCGAAGGUGGUGGAGGGCGAGGGGGCGCCGCCGUCUAUCGCUCCCGCCGCGGCGGCUGCCUCCGUAGGGCGUCGAGAGCAGGCAACGGUUGAGCCAGCAGAGGGCGACGAGUGCCUAAGAACGACAACGUUGACUCUUGAACGUCGUUUCAAUACUCCGACUAAAGGGUCUAUUAACAUUCCUUGGGUUAUGUAUACGGUCUCUUGAUAAUCUCAUGACGACGGUGUUUCGAGAAGUACUUCAUUGAUGUGCAGGUCUGAUAAACAGACUAUACUUAGAAGCAGCAAAUUACAAACUAUACUACGAACGAACCCUUUUGGGUCCACGACUCCUUCCUAACGAUUUUUUAUUAAGAUGGAGCACAUUAGGGCACCUCUAACUUCUACUUCUGCUCCCUAGUUAAAAGAUACGCUUAAGGUGUUCAAACCGACAAGUUCAGUUGCUGUACUUCUGUCAACCUAAUUCACGAAAAUGUGCUUAUCGCGGAAGUACGGGUUAUUAUCGACUGAACCAAUGACAGGUGUUAGACAAACUACGUGAAUGCACAAGUAGACCACCGGCGAAUGUAAUAAAACAUAUGCUGUUCAUAGAGUUUUCAAAUCUGGCCCAUAAGUCUAGAUAGUUUCCUCAAUACGUCAGUAGGGAACGAAGUUCAAAAUUAGAACUACGACCCCUUACAUAGCAUCGAUAACUACCACUGUUCGGAUAAGUAGGACAUAACGUCGUAUAACCCUAUAGUCGAACCGGUCCUUGUAACUAGGAAUGUUGUGUACGAGAAAUAAAAGUCUCAUAGUCUCAACCAAUACCACUAUUCUAACAAUUUAUACUAAAUCGUUGUCUAAGUUUAGUUCACUAGUUCGCUCUAAAAUGACCUGGUAACCCACAAGCAGACAAACUAUUUCGACACUACAUGUUUAGUUCGUGAAAUUGUCUUGGUUAAAUAAAGCUGAAAGGACUCAAUCCCUCGGGGAGUGCUUCUUUGAUAACCAAUCGUUAGUGAGCACUUCAUUACGUCCACUUAUCUAAAUAGUCUUUUAAGUUGGAACUUCUAUAAGUCUCUCGUCUUCGUGAGAGUUUCCGACAGGACCCGUAGAACUCUAUGAGACGACACUUUCUUCGAAAAGUAUAACGAGGGAGAGUGAAAUUCUGUUGUGAGUGAAAAUCGAAUCGACUUUUCGAGGGUUUUCCUCUAUACCAUAAUCUCCGGGAUAUGUUGUUGAUGAAGGUUGACAACCUGUGAAGUAACUCGGUAAACCGUUGACUCGGUCGUCAACUGUUUCGUGGCGUCUGAGUAAGACAUGGUAAAAGUAAUAUACGAGAGAGAUCUUACCCUAAAUUGAACGACUUCUCUUUUUUACUUUGACCUUUCCUCUAUUCGAAAACACGACAAACACAACCACAUUGUUUUAGAGACCUCCGACGAAACGUUCUCAGUAAAGAAAUAAGACUUUCUUAUCUCCGUCGUGCACGAUGUCAACUAGUUCACUUCCACCUUCCAGAACUACGUUUACAUCGGGAGUACGUCCUCUAUGAAAAAAGCAAGUAAGUACGUCCGUUUGAAUAAAUGAGAAAUUGGUUCACCCUUCUAGGAGACUUUAGUAAAAACAAGAAUCGAAAAUAGGAGAUACAAUAGGUUUCGCCCGAACAGUCAAUGUGACAUGGGAGACAAAAGUAUCAGAAACGACAGCAAUACGAAACCGUAUUCAUGUCACUUCUUCCCUUUGACAACCUUCACGAACUUCAUUCUGGGGGAGGUCGAUUUUUAGGACAGCUCGUUUAGAACUAGGACGUCCUUCGAUAUAGGUUCAACCUUCUGUGGGAUGUCCGACAUUUAUAACAAGAAGAGUUCAAGUCUCGAGAGAACAAACGUCGACAAGGUUUCCGUUGACUUUAUCAGCGUCACCGUGAAGAACAACGUCGACGCCAACAGCACAACUACGGAGGAUUCGUAGACGAGGACUACCGUCAGGACCUCCAAAUGUGCUCCCUCUACGGUAAUUCCUUCGUUGUGUGUCUCUUCAAGGCUUCUGCUUAAUUUCUCACCACCCGGGCAUAAGGUCGGCGAGGACAUGUCUACUAGUCUGGAUUCCUUCUGUUCUUUUUCUAUACUGAUACUCGAGACACAGGUAACGUUGAUUCUCGAGUGUUAAAAGGGGUUAACGGAUCCGUCGAUUGUACAUGUCUAUAGUGGGGACUAAUGGGACACUUAGCAAAGAUGUCAUGUAAACAUCACGACUUACGAUUACUACAGAGGACUAAUUUUUACAUUAGUAACAUGUAAACAGUAACAAUAGCUACGUAUUUUUCGAUGUCUAUACAGAUAUGUUUGUCAACGCAACCUAAUAACCCGAAGGUUCAAGGCUACGUUCAAGACAUUCGUCUCUCUCAAGAGAAAAACAAGGGCUGCCGAUACUUCCAACGGAUCUAGCACAAUAAAACGCCGGAGCUUAACUGUUUGAAGUCCACCAAGGCUCGGCAACGAAUACGCGCGAGAAAGGGCUGUCAUUAUUCAACAAGUUCAAAGAACAAUGUCACAACCGCCCGUCGUCGUAACUCGUUGCCGCCAUCCAUCGCCGUCCCCGUAAGGAUGGAUGGAUGGGGAGGGGAUGAUUUCGCUUUGGUUCCUCGCUACUAACAAACUGAAGAGAGGUGGUCUUAAGCGCGUCUGUCGUUUGCUCGUCCGUUUAGAGGGCGUUACCGGCGGCGACGUAGCAGCAGGAGGGGAGGCCGCCAGUAGUGGACGGCUCGCCGCCACCGUACCCCCGGCCCCGUCCGCGACCACUACCUCCUGCACCUCCAGCGGGGCGGCCCCGGUGACCUCUAGGCGCAGUUCCAGCAGAGGUGGAGGUAGACGGCGUCGCUGCAGUGGGUCACCGUCAGGUGCCGCGUCGGGCUAGACAAGGGGUCUUAAAAGCCCGUGCUUCGUAGGCCCCACCAGCUCUCGCAGCCCCUUCCUCACUGGCUCAAGGUCCACCCUCUGGUGCGCGAGUGGCAGAAGUAGCCCCUUACGUACUCGACGUUCGUGACGCACAGCCCCUUUUCGUUGUACACGGUCUGCGAGCCGGACCUCUCCUUCCCGCAGUACGUGUCGCUGGUCUGGUGGGCGAAGAGGUAGCCGCCCUUCGGGCACAUGGUGAUGACGCGGCACAGCUCGAAGUCGCUCAUGCGCCAACAGGUGAGACCGACGCGCCAGUUCCAGUCGGGGUGGUACGGGUACCUGUCCUAUACGGACGAGUCGACGCCGCGGAGACGUCCGGAACCGCGCCGAACCUUACAACGACUACAUAGGUUCCCUAGUUCACAUCAAUAUAAACCAGACCCUUGUCAUCCUGAAAGCCAGCGAGUUCCACGAUUCGAUGCCCCUCGAAGGUUCUAAUAACCUCAUCUAUGGUUAGGACUAUUCGUUCUUUUCCCCUUCCGAAAACCACAAUGUCUAAAAUAAUUAGGACGGCUUGACUUACUCGGACAAGUCGUCCAUCAUUUUGCCGAAUGACUACCUCCCCGACUAAUGAGAAAACUUACACACCCACUAUGACCUCAUCAGAGCUGACGUAACGUUAGUACAAGACUACCUACCCCUGACUGACAUUGAGAACCACAUGGUUUUCGUUUUGGUCUUCAAAGACGAGUAAUACCUAACGAAGAGAGACCUUCUUGUGACUUCCCCAGAAACAAACCUCCUACCUCUGGGUUUAGACUGUAUGGAAACAAUCACCUCUUCAUGCGUUUGUUCCUUUAGGUUCAACUACCGGAACAGUGUGUACUAUACGGUAAGUCACUGUAGUUGUUUCGCGAACUUGACUACGAUGUUUUGUCCACAAACGCUACGCACUAAGUGUACGGUUUCGCUGUCCUAACUAAAUAUGUAGUCACGGUAGUAUGGACAUGUUAAAACCACCAAAAGAGUAGUCAUUAAAAAGUGAACUAGACGAGGACCGAGCUCAAAAGUACUGUAGUUGUAUAACUUCGAGAUCGCGGUAAGAGAUAACCGUAGAGUGGAACCUUAAUACCACAAUAUCAACAACUCCUCUAAUGUUUAGUAUGACUGUAAGGGAACCUUAAGGAGUAUACAGGCUGGAGUUCUUAAUAAGUACAUUAGAUUGAACAAUUUUUAACUAGACAAUCACUAACAUUACAACAUACGUACAAGCCACGUAACACGUUAUAACAAGAUUAUAAACUCGAAGAACUAACGCUACUUAAUACAUUUUAACUUACAAGAUUUUUACAUUUAUUUUAGUAAAGAAGAAUACCUGCUC